GCAAGGCAAGUCCAGGACAGGCAAGGCCAAGACAGGCAACGGCAGGCCAGGCAAGGCAAGGAAAGUCCAAGCAAGGAUAGGCCAGGCUAGGACAGGCAAUGCCAGGCAAGGCAGGGCAAGGCAAGGUAAGGCCAGGACAGGCAAGGCAAGGAAGCACAAGGCAAGGUAAGGCCAGGCCAGGGCAGGCAAGGUCAGGCCACGCAAGGACAGGUAAGGCCAGAAAAAACCAGGCACGGAAAAGAAAGGCUAGGCAAGACAAGGCAAGGCCAGGUCAUGCCAGGCCACGAAAGGCCCGGCUCAGAAAGGCAAGGCCAACUAAGUCCAGGCCAGGCAAGAUCAGACAA
ensembl:lncRNA